rnacentral:rRNA from 1 species
GACGAACGCUGGCGGCGUGCUUAACACAUGCAAGUCGAACGGAAAGGCCCUGCUUUUGUGGGGUGCUCGAGUGGCGAACGGGUGAGUAACACGUGAGUAACCUGCCCUUGACUUUGGGAUAACUUCAGGAAAAUGGGGCUAAUACCGGAUAGGAGAUCCUGCUGCAUGGGGGGGGAUGGAAAGUUUCGGCGGUUGGGGAUGGACUCGCGGCUUAUCAGCUUGUUGGGGGGGUAGUGGCUUACCAAGGCUUUGACGGGUAGCCGGCCUGAGAGGGUGAACGGCCACAAUGGUACUGAGAUACGGCCCAGACUCCUACGGGAGGCAGCAGUGGGGAAUAUUGCACAAUGGGCGGAAGCCUGAUGCAGCAACCCCGCGUGCGGGAUGACGGCCUUCGGGUUGUAAACCGCUUUCGCCUGUGACGAAGCGUGAGUGACGGUAAUGGGUAAAGAAGCACCGGCUAACUACGUG